UAGGUCUUCUCGGGUAGACAAGGAGUAGCACUAGAGAUGAGGAGAGAAGGAGGAACAACCAGGAUGACCACUGGGCACAUCUGGAAGGACAUCUGUCUAGAUAAGGGCAGAGCUUGGCUCACUCACAGAAGAGUUUAUUCAAGGAAAACACAAAGUACAUAUCUGUUCUCGCUUCCAGAUUCCUGGCCUGCUUGAGGCUCUGUUCUGACUUCCCCCAGUGAUGGGCUGUGACCUGAGAGUUGUAAGCACAAAUACUUAUUUUUCACAAGAUUGCUGAUACCAAGGCUGGCACAUGAGGAAAAAGUUCCAUUAAUGUCAUCCUCAAACACGUUUCUGACAUGAGGACUAUAGAAUGUUCUCACAGG